rnacentral:rRNA from 1 species
UACAGAGGGUGCAAGCGUUGUUCGGAAUUAUUGGGCGUAAAGAGUGUGUAGGCGGUGCUCUAAGUUCGGUGUGAAAUCUCCUGGCUCAACUGGGAGGGUGCGCCGGAAACUGGAGUGCUUGAGCGUGGGAGAGGAAAGCGGAAUUCCUGGUGUAGCGGUGAAAUGCGUAGAUAUCAGGAGGAACACCUGUGGUGUAGACGGCUUUCUGGACCAUAGCUGACGCUGAGACACGAAAGCGUGGGUAGCAAACAGG